AACGCUAGCUACAGGCUUAACACAUGCAAGUCGAGGGGCAUCAGGGAUUAGCAAUAAUCUGCUGGCGACCGGCGCACGGGUGAGUAACACGUAUUCAACCUUCCGAUAACUCGGGGAUAGCCUUUCGAAAGAAAGAUUAAUACUCGAUAGUAUAUUUUCUUCGCAUGUUGAAAAUAUUAAAGAAUUUCGGUUAUCGAUGGGAAUGCGUUCCAUUAGGCAGUUGGCGGGGUAACGGCCCACCAAACCUACGAUGGAUAGGGGUUCUGAGAGGAAGGUCCCCCACAUUGGAACUGAGACACGGUCCAAACUCCUACGGGAGGCAGCAGUGAGGAAUAUUGGUCAAUGGACGCAGGUCUGAACCAGCCAAGUAGCGUGAAGGAUGACUGCCCUAUGGGUUGUAAACUUCUUUUAUAUGGGAAUAAAGUGCGCCACGUGUGGUGUUUUGUAUGUACCAUUAUGAAUAAGCAUCGGCUAACUCCGUGCCAGCAGCCGCGGUAAUACGGAGGAUGCGAGCGUUAUCCGGAUUUAUUGGGUUUAAAGGGAGCGUAGGUGGGCUGGUAAGUCAGCUGUGAAAGUUUGCGGCUCAACCGUAAAAUUGCAGUUGAUACUGUCAGUCUUGAGUACAGUAGAGGUUAGCGGAAUUCGUGGUGUAGCGGUGAAAUGCUUAGAUAUCACGAAGAACUCCGAUUG
rnacentral:rRNA from 1 species